AGCCACGUGACUCUGCCCCGUCCAGUCAGUGGCAUGAAAGCAACACGGAGGUGACGCCGAGUCAACACACACAGAGACGGCUCGCGAGCGGAAUUCAAAGGCCACAGGAUUGUCCCUCAGUAGGAGACCAUACAGCGCCACCCAAUGACCCACCAGUUUCACAACCUUUUGCUUGGUGUUGAGAGCAUACGCUGCCUUCUCCAGGUCCGAGCCUUCUGAUGGCUCUGCUUGAGCUGUGUGGAGAAACCCAGAACAAUCUGAAUCAUCUGACUGCUGGUUUUAAAUGGAUGUGUAAACACCAAAUGAGCAGGAAUGUUUUGGUCACUCCCUCAGUCCGUUCUUCUACAAUACCCCUGUGGUACAUAACUCAACUUAAACAAACAAAUACUAGAUUUCUAAAGUAUUUUUUGUUAAGUUUUAUUUAGCUUAAAUGUUACACAAGUUCCAAACCAUGGAUC